UGCAGUGAUUUUCGCGCAAGGUCAAGGCAAGAUCAGCGAUCAGAAUAACGCGAUUGGGGAUGUCGUCCGGACCAUGGGUUUUGAAGAUGCUAACCUCCAGCAUUUUGCUACAAGUCUCCUCAACUGUAAUUAUUGGAAUAUUGGCACAGGAUGGGGUGAUGGGUAGAAUGCUGGCAAUGCUCGAAGGUCAAGGCAAGGAAGAUCAGUGUUGAGUCUGUUGACACUAGAAAAGUAGUCGUUCAGCAAAUGGGCCAGGUCUUUACCUGUUAUCGUCACACCGUCCUUAACAAUAUUUAUGGAUUGGUUGAUGGUUUCUCUUGUCUGACAUCUGUUUAACACAAUCCCAGUUAUCCCACCAUUUUCAUGAAUUGCUGGAUUUGAGCUAUGAUUUGAGGUACUGUACUUAUACAGUACGGCGUAUUUAAAAUAUUUUCAAGGCUCACAAGCUAUGUACAUGUAUUUAAAAAAAAAGUUUUUCCGAGUUGUUUGCAAAAAGUAAACAAAAAGCAGCAGGCGAAGC